rnacentral:rRNA from 1 species
AAACGGCAUUGAGUGCUUGCACUCUUUGGACGUCGACCGGCGCACGGGUGAGUAACGCGUAUUCAACCUUCCCAUUACUGUGGGAUAACCUGCCGAAAGGAGACUAAUACCGCAUGGUCUUCGAUGACGGCAUCAGAUUUGAAGUAAAGAUUUAUCGGUAAUGGAUGGGGAUGCGUCUGAUUAGCUUGUUGGCGGGGUAACGGCCCACCAAGGCGACGAUCAGUAGGGGUUCUGAGAGGAAGGUCCCCCACAUUGGAACUGAGACACGGUCCAAACUCCUACGGGAGGCAGCAGUUAGGAAUAUUGGUCAAUGGACGGAAGUCUGAACCAGCCAAGUAGCGUGCAGGAAGACGGCCCUAUGGGUUGUAAACUGCUUUUGUAUGGGGAUAAAGUUAGGGACGUGUCCCUAUUUGCAGGUACCAUACGAAUAAGGACCGGCUAAUUCCGUGCCAGCAGCCGCGGUAAUACGGAAGGUCAGGCGUUAUCCGGAUUUAUUGGGUUUAAAGGGAGCGUAGGCUGGAGAUUAAGUGUGUUGUGAAAUGUAGACGCUCAACGUCUGACUUGCAGCGCAUACUGGUUUCCUUGAGUACGCACAACGUUGGCGGAAUUCGUCGUGUAGCGGUGAAAUGCUUAGAUAUGACGAAGAACUCCGAUUGCGAAGGCAGCUGACGGGAGCGCAACUGACGCUUAAGCUCGAAGGUGCGGGUAUCAAACAGGAUUAGAUACCCUGGUAGUCCGCACAGUAAACGAUGGAUGCCCGCUGUUGGUACCUGGUAUCAGCGGCUAAGC